CCACGCCCUCCCUGCGCCUCUUAUGGCUUCUAGGACUCCCACCAUUCAGGACUCAUUUUUUGGCUCUUUAGCACAAUCGUUUUGAACUGAAGGAAUCAGAGACUUAGAGCAACUUCUGGAAGUUUCUACCCAGUUGGCAAAGAAACCUUCUCAAUCCCCUACGUUCUCUAAACUAAGAGGACCAGAAAGUCUGCGGGCCCCAUGAUAUUCUACAUCUGCUGACACCAGGGAAACUCCACUACAAGGGAGUUGCAGAGUCUGUCACUCAGCUUGCUGAGGACCAACUCUCGGGGGCACAGUCCCUGCCUGCAAGCUGCUUGGAUCCCUUUGACAGAAUUGUCACAGCUGGACAAUUGUUGGAGCAAAGAUGAUUCAUGUGUCAUGGUGAUUUCCACGGCUGCAGUGUUAUGCUGAGAAGGAUGUUGAGGGCCCAUCUUGUCUUGGCAGGAAGAGCGUUGUCUGGGGAGAAUGUGAUAAAGAGGAGUAACUGAAGAUAAUUGGAGACUAUCGUGAUUUCCUCACUGCCAUAAUUAGUGGCAGCGGUGGGACUGGAACACAGGCAAGAAACAUCCCAA
rnacentral:antisense_RNA from 1 species